AAUGCAAGUCCACUCACCGGUAUUUGUUGAGCCUUUAGCCGACUCUUAAUCCCCCUAAUGAUCCAAUUGGGGUGAUGGGGCUUCGUUAGCACCUACCAUCAAAUUAACAUUUCCAUAAUGUCAAUUUACAUACUAUAAACCCUAAAAGCUAUCUUUUAGCUAGCUUUCAAUUGCCAUUUAAAUGGCCAUCCGUUUUCACUUUCCUAUCACUCCAAAGUGAAAUAACAAUCUCAACUACAAAAUAUUCACAAAUCAAAUCUCUAGUCAUUCUCAACACUUAAAACCCAAUACUAGUUUACUACUCACCUUGAUAACUUUGUAACUUUGAACUUCUUUCCAAAAGGUCUCAAGCUAUUAAUAAAGCUUCCUCUUUCUCUCCCUAAAACACCUAACUAGUGAGAGAUUAUGAAAACAAGAUUUUCAUCAUUUUUAAGGGUUUAAAAGUGAGAGAGUGGAAGAAUACAAGGGUUCUAGUCAAAAGGGCACCAAGGUAUGAAAAUUAGAACUAGAGAGAGAAAGUUAUGAAAGCUUCACAUCAAGCUUCCAUGGAGGAAUUGAAGAAACGUGAGAGGGAAGAGAACAAGAAGAAGAAGCUGCUAGAAAUCCCAAGAAGUUGCUAGAAGGAAAGGAUAUUUAUGGCCCAAGCUUAUCCACUC
rnacentral:lncRNA from 1 species